rnacentral:lncRNA from 1 species
CAGCAGUGAGGCUGCAGUAGGGCCUGGCUCCAGCUCCUCAUGGCCCUGCCAGGCCGUGGGCCUCAUCCUGGCCUGGCCUGGCCCUGUCACCACAGAGGUGCCCCUGGCUCCUGGAGGGGGUGGUGGGACAGGCCCUGGCUGCUAAUGCACCUGAAGUGCAUAUUUGGCUGAGGAGUCUUGUGGAUAAAGGACGAUUGCCUGACAAAGACAUGAAGUUCAGAAAGCUAAAAAUUUUUUGGGAGAGUACCCUCCUUCUGAAUCAUAAUAACAAUAAAAAUUCUCCACAUCUGCCUCCACGGCUCCUCCUCCUGCUACAACAUAUAAGGCUAAUUAAGAGGAAAGGAAACGACUGA